GGCACUGUGGUGCAGUGGUUAGCACUGCUGCCUCGCAACAAGAAGCUCGUGUGUUUGAAUCCGGCCUGGGGCA